AUAGCGUAUAUUAAAGUUGUUGCAGUUAAAAAGCUCGUAGUUGAAUUUCGGGAUUGGCGCAUCGGUCGUGCCUCACGGGGUAUGAACUGGUGCAGUCAAUUUCUCACCUUCUGGAGAACCGCGAUGUCCUUAAUUGGAUGCCGCGGGGAACCAGGACCUUUACUUUGAAAAAAUUAGAGUGUUUAAAGCAGGCAUUUUUGCUUGAAUACAUUAGCAUGGAAUAAUAAAAUAGGACGGCAUGGUUCUAUUUUGUUGGUUUCUAGGACCACCGUAAUGAUUAAUAGGGAUAGUUGGGGGCAUUAGUAUUCAAUUGUCAGAGGUGAAAUUCUUGGAUUUAUUGAAGACUAACUACUG
rnacentral:rRNA from 1 species